GACUGAGGCUAGGGAGGAAGACAUGACUAGUCAGGAGCAGGAUUCAAACCCACAUCUGCGGGAUUGCAAAGCUUGUGUUUAAAUAGCCCACAUCCAAGAUUGUUGCUCACUUAACAACAGGUUAGGUUCAGUGAAAGGUCAUCAUCUUUUUGUGCUCUCAAUUAUCAUUUCCCCUGCCACCGAAUUGGAUGUUACCAGAUUUGGAAGUCUCCUGAGAGAUCACCCGGCCCAAGUUCCCCUAUUUUGGAGACAGAGAACCCAAGAUUCCACCCCACGUUUGUGGCCGUUCAGCUGACCUAUGGAAGUGCCAGUAAAAAUACAGUAAGAAGACAGAUGUGCAAGAAGUACUUUCACUGAAAAACGUCAUUGAAAUGAUCCAGGAAGCACCAGCAUGAACACUUGUAUGAAGAGUAUCAACAGCUUAGAGGAUGAUCCAGCAUCUCCAGCACUCUUGAUGCCUGGAAUAUACAGUGUGGAAAACAGCCAGCAGCAAUUAUGAGUCAAAAAGAGAUUUACGGAGUCAGACUUGGAAUGUGAAGUUUAGAAAUAUCUUAACCAAUUUUUUCACUUGUACCUUCCUUUUUAUACGUGUGUAAGAGUGCUGUAUAAUAAAACCUGUAUCACCA